rnacentral:rRNA from 1 species
UACAGAGGGUGCAAGCGUUAAUCGGAAUUACUGGGCGUAAAGCGUGUGUAGGCGGCCACGUAAGUCGGAUGUGAAAGCCCCAGGCUCAACCUGGGAAGUGCACUCGAUACUGAGAGCUUGAGUCCGGGAGAGGUGAGUGGAACUGCGAGUGUAGAGGUGAAAUUCGUAGAUAUUCGCAAGAACACCAGUGGCGAAGGCGGACUCACUGGCCCGGUACUGACGCUGAGGUGCGAAAGCGUGGGGAGCAAACAGGG